rnacentral:rRNA from 1 species
AGCGAACGCUGGCGGCAGGCCUAACACAUGCAAGUCGAGCGCCCCGCAAGGGGAGCGGCAGACGGGAGAGUAACACGUGGGAACGUACCCUUUGGUUCGGAACAACCCAGGGAAACUUGGGCUAAUACCGGAUAAGCCCUUACGGGGAAAGAUUCAUCGCCGAAGGAUCGGCCCGCGUCUGAUUAGCUAGUUGGUGGGGUAACGGCCCACCAAGGCGACGAUCAGUAGCUGGUCUGAGAGGAUGAUCAGCCUCACUGGGACUGAGACACGGUCCAGACUCCUACGGGAGGCAGCAGUGGGGAAUAUUGGACAAUGGGCGCAAGCCUGAUCCAGCCAUGCCGCGUGGGUGAUGAAGGCCCUAGGGUUGUAAAGCCCUUUCGGCGGGGAAGAUAAUGACGGUACCCGCAGAAGAAGCCCCGGCUAACUUCGUGCCAGCCGCCGCGGUAAAAC